rnacentral:rRNA from 1 species
UACGGGGGGUGCGAGCGUUGUCCGGAAUCACUGGGCGUAAAGGGCGCGUAGGUGGUCUGAUAAGGGUGUGGUGAAAGCCCGGGGCUCAACCCCGGGUCGGCCGUGCCGACUGUUAGACUAGAGUACUGUAGGGGCAGGCGGAAUUCCGGGUGUAGCGGUGGAAUGCGUAGAGAUCCGGAGGAAGACCGGUGGCGAAGGUGGCCUGCUGGGCAGUUACUGACACUGAGGCGCGACAGCGUGGGGAGCAAACAGG